rnacentral:rRNA from 1 species
AAGGAAUAUUGGUCAAUGGACGAAAGUCUGAACCAGCCAUGCCGCGUGGAGGAUGAAGGUCCUCUGGAUUGUAAACUUCUUUUAUAUGGGACGAAAAAAGGCUUUUCUAAGUCGUCUGACGGUACCAUAUGAAUAAGCACCGGCUAACUCCGUGCCAGCAGCCGCGGUAAUACGGAGGGUGCAAGCGUUAUCCGGAUUCACUGGGUUUAAAGGGUGCGUAGGUGGGUUGGUAAGUCAGUGGUGAAAUCCCCGAGCUUAACUUGGGAACUGCCAUUGAUACUAUCAGUCUUGAAUACCGUGGAGGUCAGCGGAAUAUGUCAUGUAGCGGUGAAAUGCUUAGAUAUGACAUAGAACACCAAUUGCGAAGGCAGCUGGCUACUCGAUUAUUGACACUGAGGCACGAAAGCGUGGGGAUCAAAC